rnacentral:rRNA from 1 species
UCUGGUGACAAUGGCAAGGAGGUCACACCUGUUCCCAUGCCGAACACAGAAGUUAAGCUCCUUAGCGCCGAUGGUAGUCGGACUGA